UGGGGAAUUUUGCGCAAUGGGCGAAAGCCUGACGCAGCAACGCCGCGUGUGUGAUGAAGGCCCUUGGGUUGUAAAGCACUGUGGGCAGGGAAGAAAAAACGGGGGUUGUACCUCGUCUUGACGGUACCUGUUUAGAAAGCACCGGCUAACUCCGUGCCAGCAGCCGCGGUAAUACGGAGGGUGCAAGCGUUGUUCGGAAUUAUUGGGCGUAAAGGGCGUGUAGGUGGCUUACCAAGUCUGUUGUGAAAUCCCACGGCUCAACCGUGGAACUGCAAUGGAAACUGGUGAGCUCGAGUGUCGGAGGGGGUCGCGGAAUUCCCGGUGUAGAGGUGAAAUUCGUAGAUAUCGGGAGGAACACCAGUGGCGAAGGCGGCGACCUGGCCGAAUACUGACACUGAGA
rnacentral:rRNA from 1 species